AUGGAGGCCAAGGCGGGCAGAACAUCUGAGGUCAGGAGUUUGAGACCAGACUGGCCAACAUGGGGAAACACUCUCUCCACUAAAAAUAUAAAAAUUAGCCACGUGGGAUGGUGCCUGCCUAUAAUCCCAGCUACCCAGGAGACUAAGGGAAACAGGACCGGAGAAGGAAGUGACUUGCCCAAGGUCAAACUGCAAGCUUAUGACAGAGCCUGGACUAAGAACAAGCUUUCUCAAUGUCACAAGAAUUUAGUAACAGCCUACUGUAUACAAGCCACCAGCCUAGGUCCUCAUCAUGGUGAAGGUUGGUGGGGAGGUUCAGACUCUCGUCCAUGGGUUGACGGGGUACGGUGGCUCACACCUGUAAUCCCAGUGCUUUGGGAGGCCAAGACGGGCAGAUCACGAGGUCAAGAGAUGGAGACCAUCCGGCCAACAUGGUGAAACCCCAUCUCUACUAAAAAUACAAAAAUUAGCCAGGUGUGGUGCGUGCCUAUAAUCCCAGCUACUAGAGAGGCUGAGGCAAGAGAAUCGCCUGAAUCCAGGAGGCAGAGGUUGCAAUGAGCUGAGAUCACGCCACUGCACUCCAGCCUGGAGUGAGACUCUGUCUAAAAAAACAAACAAAAAAAAAAAGAUUUCUCCGCGGGUCAACACCUCUCCAGGGCCAGGUCUCCAGGGACACACAUUCUGCCCUUUCAAGGCUCCAAGCCAGAAGACGAAGCAGACCCUGAAACACUAUGAGUAGGAGGGGCCAGAGAGCCACAUACUUUAUUGUGCAGGAGACCCAGCCCCACUGCCUGCAACCCUGCAACUUCCCUGGGCCUCGCUGAGCUGCUCAGUAAAAUGGAGCUGAGGAUGGUGCCAGCUGUCAGUGAUGCUAAGAGGUACAAGAAGAAGCUGAAAUGUAAGACCCUGCGCAUUGCGGACACUCACUAAACAGGGACUCUUUUUCUUUUCAAGUGUGUUCUGCCAGGCGCGGUGGCUCAAGCCUGUAAUCCCAGCACUUUGGGAGGCCGAGGCAGGUGGAUCGCGAGGUCAAGAGAUCGAGACCAUCCUGGUCAACAUGGUGAAACCCCCGUCUCUACUAAAAAUACAAAAAAUUAGCUGGGCGUGGUGGCACGUGCCUGUAAUCCCAGCUACUCAGGAGGCUGAGGCAGGAGAAUUGCCUGAACCCAGGAGGCGGAGGUUGUGGUGAGCCGAGAUCGCACCAUUGCACUCCAGCCUGGGUAACAAGAGCGAAACUCCAUCUCAAAAAAAAAAAAAAUUAAGUGUGUUCUGAGUGCUACAGGAGUUCGAGGGUGGGGAGCAUUUGUCAGUUUGCCUUGAUAGGGGAUUGUCAGAGUUUACCAACUGAGGAACAUUUAGGCUGAGUCGUGGCUGGGUGCAGCGGCUCACGCCUGUCAUCCCAACAUUUUGGGAGGCUGAGGCAGGAAGAUCACUUGAGCCUAGGAGUUUGAGACCAGCCUGGGCAAGCUAGUGAGGCCCUGUAGCUACAAAAAUGAUUAAAAAUCAGCCAGGCAUGGUGGAUGUGCCUGUAGUCCCAGCUACUCAGGAGGUUGAGGCAGGAGGAUCAUUUAAGCACAGGAGUUCGAGGCUGCAGUGAGCCAUGAUUGUGCCACUACACUCCAGCCUGGGCAGCAAAGCAAGAUCCUGUCUCUAAAGUAAAAAAAAUAAAAUAAGUUGGGUCCUGAAGGAUGGAAAGGAG
rnacentral:lncRNA from 13 species